rnacentral:lncRNA from 1 species
GAUGUUAAAGAAAAUAUUUUACAGUAUCAAAAUAUUUACUCAUCAUUGACAUUUCAGAGGCUAAAGUCAUCAAGGAGGAAGCUAAACCAGCUCCUGCAAAGAAAGAGGCUGAAGUCAUCAAAGAUGUUAAACCAGCCCCUAAGAAGAGAGAGGCUGAAGUAAUCAAGGAGAAAGUGAAACCGGCUCCUGUAAAGAAAGAGCCUGAAGUUGCUAAAGAAAAGGCACCUGUACUGAAACCCAAAAAAGAGCCUGAAUUUAUCAAAGAGAAACCAGCACCUCCAAAGAAAGAGGCUGAAGUCAUCAAAGAGAAAGUCAAACCAGCCCCUGAGAAGAAAGGUUUGAGUUGCUUUAACAAUUAA